rnacentral:rRNA from 1 species
UACGGGGGGGGCAAGCGUUGUUCGGAUUCACUGGGCGUAAAGGGUGCGUAGGCGGUCGGGUAAGUCUGACGUGAAAUCUUCAAGCUCAACUUGGAAACUGCGUCCGAUACUAUUCGGCUAGAGGAAUGGAGGGGAGACUGGAAUACUUGGUGUAGCAGUGAAAUGCGUAGAUAUCAAGAGGAACACCAGUGGCGAAGGCGA